AUUGAGCGCUGGCGGAAUGCUUUACACAUGCAAGUCGAACGGCAGCAUAGGUGCUUGCACCUGAUGGCGAGUGGCGAACGGGUGAGUAAUACAUCGGAACGUGCCCAGUCGUGGGGGAUAACGUAGCGAAAGUUACGCUAAUACCGCAUACGAUCUAAGGAUGAAAGCGGGGGACCGUAAGGCCUCGCGCGAUUGGAGCGGCCGAUGUCAGAUUAGGUAGUUGGUGAGGUAAAGGCUCACCAAGCCGACGAUCUGUAGCUGGUCUGAGAGGACGACUAGCCACACUGGGACUGAGACACGGCCCAGACUCCUACGGGAGGCAGCAGUGGGGAAUUUUGGACAAUGGACGCAAGUCUGAUCCAGCCAUUCCGCGUGCAGGACGAAGGCCUUCGGGUUGUAAACUGCUUUUGUACGGAACGAAAAAACUCUUACUAAUACUAGGAGUCCAUGACGGUACCGUAAGAAUAAGCACCGGCUAACUACGUGCCAGCCGCCGCCGCAG
rnacentral:rRNA from 1 species